GGGUGACUGCGUACCUUUUGUAUAAUGGGUCAGCGACUUAUAUUCUGUAGCAAGGUUAACCGUAUAGGGGAGCCGCAGGGAAACCGAGUCUUAACUGGGCGUUAAGUUGCAGGGUAUAGACCCGAAACCCGGUGAUCUAGCCAUGGGCAGGUUGAAGGUUGGGUAACACUAACUGGAGGACCGAACCGACUAAUGUUGAAAAAUUAGCGGAUGACUUGUGGCUGGGGGUGAAAGGCCAAUCAAACCGGGAGAUAGCUGGUUCUCCCCGAAAGCUAUUUAGGUAGCGCCUCGUGAACUCAUCUUCGGGGGUAGAGCACUGUUUCGGCUAGGGGGUCAUCCCGACUUACCAACCCGAUGCAAACUACGAAUACCGAAGAAUGUUAUCACGGGAGACACACGGCGGGUGCUAACGUCCGU
rnacentral:rRNA from 1 species